rnacentral:rRNA from 1 species
UACGUAGGGUGCAAGCGUUAUCCGGAAUUAUUGGGCGUAAAGAGCUCGUAGGCGGUUUGUCGCGUCUGCUGUGAAAACUGGAGGCUCAACCUCCAGCCUGCAGUGGGUACGGGCAGACUAGAGUGCGGUAGGGGAGAUUGGAAUUCCUGGUGUAGCGGUGGAAUGCGCAGAUAUCAGGAGGAACACCGAUGGCGAAGGCAGAUCUCUGG